rnacentral:lncRNA from 1 species
GUGUGUGCCGUGCCGUAAAAUCAUGGCAUUGCACACGACUUUGUACAUGGAGAUCAGUCCAUGCAUUUUGCACCACAUGACUGUGUCUUGGAUGUAUCACAACCAUUUCGUUAAGGCAGGGUAAUGUGCGCGCAGUCGUGCACCUUGACCCAAGGACCGCAAUACGGCAAUUCUUCCACCAAGUUUGGAGCCCUUCCUCCUUCAGUCGAGCACCCUGCUGCAUAAGUGUGAUCAGGUGUCUGACGAAAACUGGAUCGC